rnacentral:sRNA from 1 species
CUUGGUCAUUUAGAGGAAGUAAAAGUCGUAACAAGGUCUCCGUUGGUGAACCAGCGGAGGGAUCAUUACAGAGUGUAAAGACUCCCAAACCCAUGUGUAUCUACCACUGUUGCCUCGGUGGGCUUCUAGGGGCCUGCCGACGGACAUUACAACUCUUCUGAAUAGUAAUUCUCUGAGUCAACUUUUAAAUAAGUAAAAACUUUCAACAACGGAUCUCUUGGUUCUGGCAUCGAUGAAGAACGCAGCGAAAUGCGAUAAGUAAUGUGAAUUGCAGAAUUCAGUGAAUCAUCGAAUCUUUGAACGCACAUUGCGCCCACUAGUAUUCUGGUGGGCAUGCCUGUUCGAGCGUCAUUAAGUCCACUCAAGCCCCCGGGCUUGGAAUUGGGAGACUACUUCGCUGUAGCUCCUCAAAGACAGCGGCGGAGUCGUGUCAUCCUCUGAGCUUAGUAAUUAUUUCUAGCUUGCGAGUGAGGCAUACCCCCUGCCGUAAAACACCCAUCUUUUUUUGGUUGACCUCGGAUCAGGUAGGAAUACCCGCUGAACUUAAGCAUAUCAAUAAGCGGAGGAAAAGAAACCAACAGGGAUUGCCCUAGUAACGGCGAGUGAAGCGGCAACAGCUCAAAUUUGAAAUCUGGCGCAAGCCCGAGUUGUAAUUUGUAGAGGAUGCUUUUGGUGCGGUGCCUUCCGAGUUCCCUGGAACGGGACGCCUUAGAGGGUGAGAGCCCCGUACGGUUGGACGCCUAGCCUCUGUAAAGCUCCUUCGACGAGUCGAGUUGUUUGGGAAU